rnacentral:rRNA from 1 species
GAUGAACGCUGGCGGCGUGCCUAAUACAUGCAAGUAGAACGCUGAAGCUUGGUGCUUGCACCGAGCGGAUGAGUUGCGAACGGGUGAGUAACGCGUAGGUAACCUGCCUCUUAGCGGGGGAUAACUAUUGGAAACGAUAGCUAAUACCGCAUAAAAGUCGAUAUCGCAUGAUAUUGAUUUGAAAGGUGCAAAUGCAUCACUAAGAGAUGGACCUGCGUUGUAUUAGCUAGUUGGUGAGGUAACGGCUCACCAAGGCGACGAUACAUAGCCGACCUGAGAGGGUGAUCGGGCACACUGGGACUGAGACACGGCCCAGACUCCUACGGGAGGCAGCAGUAGGGAAUCUUCGGCAAUGGGGGCAACCCUGACCGGGCAACGCCGCGUGAGUGAAGAAGGGUUUCGGAUCGUAAAGCUCUGUUGUAAGAGAAGAACGAGUGUGAGAGUGGAAAGUUCACACUGUGACGGUAACUUACCAGAAAGGGACGGCUAACUACGUG